rnacentral:rRNA from 1 species
GUUGAACGCUAGCUACAGGCUUAACACAUGCAAGUCGAGGGACCGGCGCACGGGUGAGUAACACGUAUCCAACCUGCCCUUUACUCGGGGAUAGCCUUUCGAAAGAAAGAUUAAUACCCGAUAUAAAGGAUGGGGAUGCGUUACAUUGGGUUGUUGGUGAGGUAACGGCACACCAAGCCUUCGAUGGAUAGGGGAUCUGAGAGGAAGGUCACCCGCAUUGGAACUAAGACACGGACCAAACUGCUAGGGAGGACAGCAGAGAGGAAGAUUAGUGGAUGAGCGCUAGCCUAGACCAGCCGAGUAGCGUGAGAAAUGAAUGGUUAUGAGUCGUAAUCUUCUUUUGAAGAAGAAUAUGUAUUAUAUGAAUAAGGAUCGGCUAACUCCGUGCCAGCAGCCGCGGUAAUUC